AGCAGCAGCAGUGACUCUCUGGCCGACAUAGCUGUGGGUUUGGGGCUGGACUAUGUCAAACUGGGAGGUCUGAGUGGCGCUGAGAGGAUGACUAAAUACAACCGGCUCAUUUCUAUAGAAGAGGAACUGGCCCAACAAGGAAUCCUGGUCUCCAAACAGAAGCACUCCCCUCCACUGCUGCUUGAAAAACUAAAAAAGCAGCAGCAGCAGCAGCCUACAGAGCAGCAGCAGCAG